rnacentral:misc_RNA from 1 species
GAUGAAGAACGUAGUGAAAUGCGAUAAGUAGUGUGAAUUGCAGAAUUCAGUGAAUCAUCGAAUCUUUGAACGCACAUUGCGCCCUUUGGUAUUCCAAAGGGCAUGCCUGUUCGAGCGUCAUUUGUACCCUCAAGCUUUGCUUGGUGUUGGGCGUCUUGUCUCUAGCUUUGCUGGAGACUCGCCUUAAAGUAAUUGGCAGCCGGCCUACUGGUUUCGGAGCGCAGCACAAGUCGCACUCUCUAUCAGCAAAGGUCUAGCAUCCAUUAAGCCUUUUUUUCAACUUUUGACCUCAGAUCAGGUAGGGAUACCCGCUGAACUUAAGCAUAUCAAUAAGCGGAGGA